rnacentral:rRNA from 1 species
UACAGAGGGUGCAAGCGUUAAUCGGAAUUACUGGGCGUAAAGCGUGCGCAGUCGGUUAUUUAAGUCGGAUGUGAAAUCCCCGGGCUCAACCUGGGAAUUGCAUUCGAUACUGGAUGGCUAGAGUUCGGCAGAGGGAAGUGGAAUUUCAGGUGUAGCGGUGAAAUGCGUAGAUAUCUGAAGGAACAUCAGUGGCGAAGGCGGGUCUCUGGGCCGAUAUUGACGCUGAGGAGCGAAAGCGUGGGGAGCAAACAGG